rnacentral:lncRNA from 1 species
AAUAGAUAUAAGCUCACAUAUAAGAAGUAACUAGAACAAUUUUGUAUUUUAAAAAAAAUUGAGUUGUUAAUGAAAGUAAAGUAAAUAGCGUUUGGAUGGUUAGUAGGAAUAAGAAUUAUAAUUUUAAAUUAAAAUUAUUUUAUAUAAUUAAUUAAAAUUAAAAUAUUAAUUAAAUUAAUAAGUUUUUAGCUGUGAAUAAAGUAUAAGAUAAUAAAAAUGUAUUAAUUAAUUUAAUUUAAUUUAAAAUAAUUUAGCUUUUUAAUUAGUUAGUAAAUUAUUUUAAUUAGAUAACUAAUAAAAAAAAUAAUUAGAUUAAUAAAAAUAUUAAUGGUUGAUCAAUAUAAAUAUUGGUUUAUAGAUAAACAUAUUAAAUUAUUAAUAAUUAAUUAGCUAAUUAAUUAUAUGUAAUAAAUAAAUAAAUUACUUUAUUAUUGAAGCAAUGAAUAAUAAUUUAAAUAUAUUAAUUAGAUUAAUUAAUGAUCUAAUACCAUAAUUAAAAUUAAAUUUAGAUUUUAAUUAAUUUUGUUUCUUGAGAAAAAGCUUAUUUCAGGAAAAAUGGUGGAAAAACAAUUCCAGACUUUUACUGAAUUAUACCAUCUUAUUUCAAUUAUUAAAGAUCCGAGAACUACUAUUCUCGGACACGAAAAUUAUGUUUGAAAAUAAAAGAGGGAAUAAGGGCUUAUUCCUCCCGUUGUUCCCGAAUCAAACGCUGUCUUAGAGAUGCCUUAAAAGCCGAAUGCUAAUUCAUUACCCUAAAGCAAGCAACAAGAACAUCACAAAACUUCCAAUUUAAUAUAUGGUGAAAUUACGACACACUUUGGUCCUGUUUGUUUGGGUGGAAGUAUAAAGGGUGAGUCAUUUCCUACCAUAAAUGAUCACUUUUGCUAUUUGUUUAGCCGUAAUAAAGAUACGAUCGAAACUCGAGUUGCUCGGAACAGCGUAAUUGACUUCGACCCACUCCGGGCCCACAUUAAUUGCGAUGAAGAAAGGUGAAAAAAAAUAAUAAAAUAAUACAAUAAGUAAUGCUAGUUAUAUUUAAAUAUAUUUAACUAUGGCAUUAAUUAUUUUUUAUUUAGUUUGCAUGGUUCAAAUAUGAUUAAAUUUGAUUAGUUAAGUUUUAUUAUUUCCUUCAUAUAGUUUUUACAUCUUAAAUAUGAUGAAAAUUGAAUAGUUAAGUAUUUAUAUAUAUAUUUUUUUACUUUAUAAUAUAUUGUUGUAUUAUAUAUAAUUUAUGUAUAAAAAAAUAAUUAAUUUGUUUUAGUUUAAAUUUUUUUAAUUAAAUAGGAACAUAAUUAUAUUAUUUUUAUUUAUUAUAUUAUAAUUUAUUAUUUAUAUAUAAAUUAUAGUUUUAUAUUAUUCACUUUCUCCCCAACAAACAGUAAAACGGAAGGAACUUCAUUUUCAUAACUAUGAAACAAACAGCAUGGCACAAGUAAUUUUUAUCGAACUUCACUUGAACUCAAAAUUUACUUCUACCAAAAGUGCAGUUUCGGUGAAACAAACAGACCCGUAUCCAAGCCAUAUAU